GCCGCUUUAGCUCAGUUGGUAGAGCACAUCAUUCGUAAUGAUGGGGUCACAGGUUUGAGUCCUGAAGCGGCACCA
rnacentral:tRNA from 2 species